AAAGUGUUGUCAAUGCACGAUAAGAUUCGUGAUAUGGGAAGGAGCAUUGCCAACAACCAAAGCUCUACAGAACCUGGUAAACAUAGCAGGUUAUGGUCUUGUGACAAUAUCAUGAUGGUAUUACAUGGUGGUGAGGGGAAUAAAAUGGUCGGAGCUCUCCCCCUUAGCUUCAACCACAUUUAUUUAAAUACUACAAGUUUUGAGAAGAUGCCCAAUCUAAGAUUACUAAAUGUUGAUGGAGCAACCUUGGAGGGGAACUUUCAGGGUCAUUAAGAUAUCUGAGAUGGUGUUUUUGUCCGUCGGAAACACUACCUGCCAAUUUUUAUCAUGAAGAAUUAGUUAUGCUCGACUUAAGUUUUGGCCAUUUUAAACUAGCUUGGAAUAACUGGCUUGAAAAUAAGCUGUUUCAACAGGUGAAAGUUCUUAAACUCAGUUGUUGUCAGAAGCUGUCUGAGUCCCCUGACUUCUCAGGAUUUCCUCGCUUAGAGAGGUUGUAUCUUGAUAGAUGCCCUUGUUUGGUUAAUUUACAUGAGUCCAUUGAGCAACUCCAACAGCUUGAGUUCUUGAACUUGUCCUUUUGCUAUUCUCUUGAGAAACUCCGAUCGU